AAUAAAUGUGAAUUUUUUAUGCCAGGGUAGUAAUAGUUAUGUUCUUGAAACCCAAAGAAUUUGGCGGUAUUUUAGUCCUUUCAGAGGAAUCUGUCCCGUAAUCGACAGUCCACGAGAUAAUUUACUUAUCCUUGUAUUUCAGUUUGUAUACCUCCGUCAUAAGAAGAUCUUUUUAGAGAUAAAUUUUCUUAAUAUAUUAAGUAUAAAAUGUCAGGUCAAGGUGCAAUUUAUGGAUGAGUGGAGAUGGAUUACAAUAAAUUUAUUUAAAUGGAUUAAAUUAUUUAAUUUUUUAUGAAGGUGGAUUUGAUAGUAAUUUUAAUUAUUUGUUAUUAUGAUUUUGGCUCUAAAAUAUGC
rnacentral:rRNA from 1 species